rnacentral:misc_RNA from 1 species
GCAAACUUGGUCAUUUAGAGGAAGUAAAAGUCGUAACAAGGUUUCCGUAGGUGAACCUGCGGAAGGAUCAUUAUCGAAUUAUAAGGCAAGGGUUGUAGCUGGUCCUCCGGGGCAUGUGCACGCCGGAGCCGAUUUAAUCCAACACACACCUGUGAACACACCGUAGGCCUUCGGGCCUAUGUCUUUAAUCACCAACUCCAAUGUCUCUACAGAAUGUCAUCUUUUUUAUAUUUGUUGCCCUAAGAAAGCAAUCGAAUUAAAUACAACUUUCAACAACGGAUCUCUUGGCUCUCGCAUCGAUGAAGAACGCAGC